GAUCAUCUUUUAAGGCACGCACAUAUAAGAAGAAAAUGUUUAAUAAUAUGAUUUUAAUUUGUACCAUUAUUGCACUGGAUAAAGUCUCAGAUUCAUGUUAUCUUGCUGCAGAUGGAGACAAAGAUGUUGCCCUAGUCUUCCAGUUUUCAUGGAGUUCUCAGUACGGGAAAUUUAUUAAAUGCUACAAGUCGAACUUCUUGAUAGGCCGGUGUUCUGGUUUAAUAAGUACAAAAGAAUGUUCUCUGGACCCAGAUAGUCUUGGGGUUUACACUAUAUCGUCAAAUAAUGAUAAUGAAACAGUAUCCAUCGUCAUUUUGCAAGUCCAUUAUACAUUUUUUUACAAACUACAGCUGUGUCAACGAGAUCAGCGGAGAAAGGAAAUACAAUUGCAUUAAAGAAAACGUGACGAAUCUAGCAGAAGAUACAACAAAAGGUAUGAGCUCAUGUAAAAUUGCAGUCAUCAUCAUAGCAGUUUUGGCCUUGUGUAUGACACCACUACAAUAGCUCUUUGUUUGGGUAGAAAAGCGACUUUAUCGAUAUGCGGAAUAAGUCCUCAUUUACCUUCAAUGAACCAACAAUGAUGAUUGACGGGAACGUUGCUCACUGGACAAUUCAAGUGCCAAUUAUGUAAGCGACACACCUACAAUAACAUAUGGUACUUGCAGAAUUAUUGUUCAUUUUAUGAACGUCUUAUAUGUUGUGUAUGCUAUCAUUUUGAAGUUUAAGUGUUUAACCUCGCUUCAAACAAAUAAAAUAUGUAGAUUAGUAUUAUUAUCUUGAUUGUAAGGUUCAUUAACUAAUGUGUUUGUAUAGUUUUUACCCGUUAUGAUACCAUUUUCGAGCUCAUUGAUAUUGUAGUUUUGUACACAAAACUAUAGUACGUUUUCAAUGCCCUAUAAUAAAAUAUCAGAUGACAUGAAACGAG